GAUCCAGCAACGCCGCGUGGAGGACGAAGGUCUUCGGAUCGUAAACUCCUGUCAGACGGGACGAAGGGAUCUGGGUAAUAAUCCAGGUUCUUGACGGUACUGUCAGAGGAAGCCCCGGCUAACUCCGUGCCAGCAGCCGCGGUAAUACGGAGGGGGCGAGCGUUAUUCGGAAUUAUUGGGCGUAAAGGGCGCGUAGGCGGCUUGACAAGUCAAAGGUGAAAUCCCUCGGCUCAACUGAGGAACUGCCUUUGAAGCUGUAAAGCUUGAGGCCGGGAGGGGGUAGCGGAAUUCCCAGUGUAGCGGUGAAAUGCGUAGAUAUUGGGAGGAACACCAGUGGCGAAGGCGGCUACCUGGACCGGUUCUGACGCUGAUGCGCGAAAGCGUGGGUAGCAAACAGGAUUAGAUACCCUGGUAGUCCACGCUGUAAACGAUGGGUGCUCGGUGUCGCGGGUAUCGACCCCUGCGGUGCCUUAGCCAACGCGUUAAGCACCCCGCCUGGGGAGUACGGUCGCAAGGCUG
rnacentral:rRNA from 1 species